AAACGUGUGCUAUGGUAACUGCGUCUCUUAGCCUGCCCCUCCGCGGGGCGGGGAGGAAAGAUUCCAGGCUUACCCUUCUCCACUGACACGUAGCCGUAUUUCAUCUCCUUGCAGCAGAUCCCGACGGAGAUGAGACCUUGUUUCAUUUCUAGAAUGACAGAAGGGGAAGCACGUGCCUUGAAGGUUGUGAGCUGUCAUGUUGCCUCCACCCCAAUGCCAAGAAGCCCCUUAUCUCAGCUGUCCUGCUGCAGGGCUGCUCCCCCGCUUGCUGAGAUGGCCACUCCCCCAAUGACAGAGAGGGCUAUCUCCUGGCAAAGCCUUACUGAAGUAAGGUGAAGUAGCUUUCGAGUCCCUUGUAUUAAAAAUGUGACAUUGAUGUAUUACGGUGGGACUGUGUGUAACUUCUCCAGGGGGAGCUGUGACCGAGGUAAACCCUGGGAAGUGUCAGGAGCGUCAAAGGACUAUUGGAAACAAAUGUGCCAGACCAGAAUGAAGUGUGGGGACAACCAAGCAACACGGGUUUCCCACCCCCUGGCUGUGCAAAAGCCUGGCCGUUUUGACACUACACCCGAGGAGACAGCCAUUGUCUGCAUAUCACCCGUUACAUGAGGACAAGAUCAAAGGCUCAAGCCACAUAAAGGAACAGACUGAUCUGCACAAUCUGCGUGCUUGUUCCGAGCUAACAGCUGUUAUGGACUUGAAAAUCCCGUGUGGGGCUGGAAGGACUGACUCCUACCAGUGGGAGUUGGGGUUGACGUGGUCUAUGGAGAGGCCCUGCUCAGCCCGGGACUCAUACAUGAUGGAGCCGUCAGGUCUGCUCACCACCCGGCCUUUCCGGCCAGUCAUCUACAUGGCCCGCCAGGGAAGAAACAGGUCAUUAAUGAGACAGACAGACAGAGUGGGGGCACAAGGGUGAAAUGGAGCAUUUGGGAAGUAAAUAUAAAGGCAGACACCUGGGCAGGGGUCUGUACUGGCCAGACCUGGAGCAAUAAACUGCUUCCAGAGGGAAUUUUUGCCCUGGAGACUAUAUUUUACAAUUAGGGAAACUGAGGCAGUGAAGUAACUAGUCCAAGAUCACAGUAAGGAAGUGCCAAGAGCACAGUAAAUAAGUAGUAGGAAGGUCUAGCCAGUCCUGGGUUGGAAAGAAGGGGGUUACAACCCAGGGCCUCAAGAUGAGGAAGAUAAUGCAAAAAGCAUAAAGGGGGGGGCAUCCCUCAGGGAGCUCCUGCUACCUCGCCAUCACACACUGGAUAGGUACUGUCAGGAACUAAGGCCAUGUCUACACUAGAGACCUUAUAGCACCACAGCUGUACCAAUGCAGCUGCGUUGCUGUAAGAUCACCCGUGAAGCCGCCCUACACCGACAGGAGAGAACUCUCCUGUCGACAUAAUUUAACCACCUUCAACGAGCAGCCGCAGCUAUGUCGGCAGGAGAGCUGUGGACAUGAGCGCUUCUGUCGGCGAAACUGACGUCGCUCAAGUGGGUAUUUUUUUCACACCCGAGUGACGUAAGUUUUGCCAACAUAAAUAGUAGUGUAGACAUGGCCUUAGUCUACAGGAGCGCCAAUGUUAGCCAGCGGCUGCCCGCUCAGAUGUGAACCACAGAGCCCAGAUGUGCCCCUGGGGCUGGGAGCCCAACUCAAUCUCUCCAAGGGCUGGCAUUACAGCACCCUCUAGUGGUUAGAGACACAAACAGCAGGUUGAGCUGCUGAGCCCAACGCCAGGCGACCAUAAUAUGACAUACCUCUGCCACGUACUCCGGGCCCCCAAAGUGAUUUAUCAGCUCAUCCAAGGUAUUGAGAGGUAGCUCUUUGCCCAGUGCUUUUACUUUUGAUAGGAGGUCCUGUUUCAUUUUCUCCACAUGUUCUAGCACUCCCGGGCCAUGCACAUCCUUCUGGGACCCUGGAAAGUGCAAACUGCCUGCAAUGUGGAAAGGCAGGUUCUUAGAGUCCAGCCAGGGGAUGGCAAGGAACUCAACAGCCACAGAGCUCAGGACCAGCGUGAAGAAGAACCCUAGAGUGACCUAGAUUGAAGCUCAAGAGGGGAGGGGUCUGAUUCAGAGAGCAAGGACUGCUGCUGGAUGUUGUUGUGGAGUGUGCAGGACAGAUUUCUCAUGCCGGCUGGCAUUCCACACUCCACUCCACCCCACCUCCCAAGUCUGACCACAACUAGGUAUAAAUCAGCUACAAGCCAAUCGUUCUAUUAUACAAACGUCAAUUUGCUCCUAAUGCGGGAAUCGGGGCUCCCCCACUUGGGCAGUGCAGGAUAGCCAAGCAAGUCUGCGUUAGCCUGGAACAACAUGGAGGGUAGGAAGUCUGCAGGUAUCAUUUCCUCAACCUCCCUAAAGAGAUUCAAGGAACGGCUCUGAGCUGGUGGGUGCAACAGCCGGCAAAUCCCUGCCCAGGAAGCCUGGCCACUCCCAUACAUAACAGGACUCUCACUAUCCCCGGGGAGACACCAGGAGAGGCGCCUCUGUAUCAGAACUUCAGCGCCGCUGUCCCACGUAGGGUGCUAAGCAAAGCCAGGGUCAGAUCCAUUCAGAAUGUUAUUCUGCACAUGUACGGGACCAGGAUAAGCCCAGACACUUGUCCCCUGACCUUCCGCAAAUGCCUGGCGUGUCCCUGGCCUGGGAAGGGAUUAACCCCAGCUUACCUCUGUCUUCGGAUGCAAAGCCAUUGUAGGUGUGUUCAACAAAGAUGACGUCGUCAUUGUCGAACAGGGACUCCGGGGAGGAGUUGAAGUCGCUGUCCAGCCCUACCUCCGAAUCAGUGCUGCUGUCGUCGCUGAUCUUGAUCACGCCCGCCAUGUCGUACAUUCCUUUCAGCACCUUCGCACAGCGGCCUUUCUGCUUCCCUGUGAGGGACAGCGAGCCACAUCAGCGGGGGGGGAGAGUGCCCAAGGGGCAGGUCAGCACAGAACAGCAAGCACUGGCUCAGAGAAUGGAGGAUAGGUCACAGGGGAGCUGAGGUUGCCCCAAGCGAAAGGCAGAUCAGAGAGGCAGACGUUUGGGCAUGGGGGGAAAAAACAGAGAGAGGAAGAACGAGCCAGUCUUUUACCAGGGCUGAAGACGGCCACAUGGCAAUGUGCAAACUGCACCUUGCUCUCACCUGGCCAUGCAGCUACUUUCCUCUUCUCCCAUUGUGGGGAAAGAACCCACAGGCUCAGCUAUCCCUAAAGGAAAAUCUUCAGGCAAAGAGAGGGGCUGGUGCAUUAGUGUUUCAGGAAGGAAAACGAGUCGCAUCAGGACUGAAUUCCCAGCACAGUGAAAAUGCCCCAGCCAUGCAAGGUAUUACAGAUCUGUUUGUCUCAGCUGGCAGAGAACCCGAGCAGUUUGCCAGGGCAAUCUCUGUAAAUCAGUCUUUACCACUCUUUACCACUCUCUCCUCUUCCCCCUUUUGCCAUAUCCCACUUCCCAGGUGUAACCAUGGGUAUGAGAGCUAGGGUCCAACCUUCUUGCAAAGGAACCCAGCACAGAGGGAACACAGGUUGUACAGGAGACAGUUCUUACCUGCAGCUGCAGCCAGGAAUAGGGUAGAUAACUGAGUAUUUUCCAGGGCACCUGCCACCCUAUAUGUAAGGGGUAGAGGAGAAAAACCCCUUGCUGCAAGAGGGCCUCAGAUAUGCAGCUGGGAGUCUAGCAAAAUCUGCCUGUCAGUCUAGCAGUCUGCACUGCAGGGGGAAAGGGGCAUGGCUACUGGGCAAUCCCAGGGGCUAGGAAGUGAUUUGGUGGAAGGGAGGUGAGUUGGGGGGGGAAAAAGAUGACAUGGAGAGCUGCAACUAGCGACAUGCCUAGGGUGAGAGAUUGUAGCAAGGGAUCUAAGGGAGGGCAAACCCAAACCCAGGCAAAGCAUGAAGUGGGGAAGGGAACAGGAGAUGAAAAGGCUGAUAGCUGGGGCGAGGCGGAAAGGCAGGAGGUCAGACGUUGGGCGGUGGAAGGUGGUCUUACGUUUUCUUUUAAUGCCAGUUCCUUUUUCUCUCUUUCUUUUGGUUGAAGGAAAGUGCUUCUGAAUUAGUGAUAGAAAGACGCCUCUGAAAGUAAGAUGCAAAAUUUAUUCUAGCUACCAGGAGUAGGAACAUCUACUGGUUAUAAUGUAUCAAUGGGUAUUUAGAAGAUCGAUAUAUUUAUGGGAAAAUGGGCUAAACCAAGCAUUUUCUAACUGUUAGUGAGUCUGAACAAUUAUCGAUUAGUACAGCUUGGAUCUGAGGAAUCACAUCAACUCGAAUGGAGAGGAGGAGGAGGCUGGCUGCAGCAUUUCACCAGAGCGUUCUGAUGGAAAACUGUGUGAGUGAAGCAAGAGAGCUUGGCUCACUCCAGCAGGACCUCAGCCUUACAGGAUGCACACUGAGUGAAUGCUGUGUGUUGCUGCACACGGGGAGAAAUGCUCUCUGCUUUAGACUGCCUGCUGCUCCUGCUGAAUGGAGGCAGCACAGCAGUGCCAGGGCGCUGUUGCAAUAGAAACACAAAAUGCCACGGGCAUCGCACUGCUAUGGGACCGCCCAAAACAGCACAAAUGUCAGAGAGCAACUGAGAGCAAGGUUUAAGUGUGACGCGCUCUAUGUUUGGAAGUUGUUACUGCAAAACCCAGUACGUUCCAACAGCCAACAUCUUCUCUGGGUGUGAUGUGGCCUAGCGGUUCCAACCCUGUGCCGUGUAACUGACCCGCCUGAAAUGGCGGAGACUCUGGGUCCCGGUUGUCUAACGGAAUGUGCUUUGAUUAACCUAAGCGGAAGUGCUUGCCCGCAGGGCAAAGGCCAGUGACAAAACAUGGAACACACUGUGGGUCUAGGUGGAUGGAAAAAUCAGAAGAGGUGGAAAUCAAAUGGAUGCUUUGGUGGGCUGUACUGCAAACGAAAGAGUAAAUGCUUCAAUGCUGGCUGGAUUGGGAGGGACUGGGCCAUGUGCAAUGAAAAGGCAGCGCUGAAUGAGCUUGGGCUGAAACAAAUGUUGAAAGCAACAGCUGAGAGGUAUGGGCAUGAUUCCCACCUGCUGUGAGACAGGGGUACUUGGGGAAUAAGGAGGGGCUCUCAGACCAGACUGGUCCACCAGGAACGAUGCUACAGGGACUGAGAGACACCACCAGACCCUGGAGGAACAGAGGGGUUAGGAACAAUUGCUAUUAUGUGGUACUGGAAAGGCCCUUUGCCCUCAGUGCCAGGCUGGCUCUAGGUACAGAGAUGAGACCCAGAGAAGGCUGAGAGUCACUGGUUCCUUCAAGCCAGGAUUCGGGUUCUGAGUCUCCUCGCCAUGAAAUCCAGCUUGCUAUUCUUCUGACCAUCUGUGUUCUCUCCUCCUCCUCCACUGGAAUCCCCAUUAACAAAGUUUUAUAGACUCCCCUGCACAAACAGCAAGCAGCCCUUCCCUUCUCGUUUUGUCAGCAACUGCUCCUUUGCAAACGCACUCCCCUAAGAACACCCGCCUAUUGCUGAAGGGCUUCAGAACCAGGAAGCUGCAAUCAGACACUGUGAAGCAGGCACAUUAGGAGAUGGGACUGCCCAGCAAGUAAACGGCUGCCCCACAGGAGGGGGACGGAGCUGGCCAGCACGAGUGAUCACUAACAGCACCACCUUUGAGCAAGGAGUCAGAGGGGACCAUUAUGAUCUUCUACUACGACCUCUUCUGGUGUUACGCAGAUAUCCAACUCAAGUGAGAAACCAACUUAGCUGCUGGAGCCUGAUUUGCUUCAACUCUACAGCAGUUAACAAGCGAGUAUUUGCUCUGGGGGAGGGGGGUGGAAUAGGCCAUCACUGAGACACCCUGGAGGAGCAGGGACGAUUGGCACUUCGAUAGCUCACAUCGAGUCUAGCUCGCUCCAGGUGUUUUCAUCAGCAAUAAAAACUGAUGCAAACAAAAAUAAUCUAACACAAGCCCUGCUGAUUGCACGGGCCCUAGGGAAACAUAACUCACCUGGGUCUUAUCCCAGUCAGGCAGUUUGGUUUCCUGCCACCUGAUGUGCAGGGACAGUUAGGUUCAUGGAAUACGGGAUCAUCUUCAAAAGCACCUAAGUGAGUUAGGUGCCUAAGUCUCAUGGCAAGCCAAGGAUUUAGGCUCCCACAAUGCCCACAAUACUUUGGAAAAUGGGACCCAGUGCUUUUUAAGAUGUUCCCAAUUGUCCACAGCUGACUGUGCACUGGGUACAAUCACCUCUCAAAUUAACUGAGGCAGAAAUACAUAAAUCAAACCAUCACAAACUAGUACGUUACUGGGAGAAGGCAAUCUAAUGCUAUGUUCUGCUUUGGACUGAUGCUGAAAGACAACGUUCUUGAAACCAGGAUUUUUGGUGGGACAAAAAGAGAUAGUCCAAAAUCCAGGGAUGCCAUCUCACCUUACAGCAUGUUUGUAAGAUCUCAAGAUCUGUCUCUGAAUCAGAUUAUUGCUCACUUAUUUUUCUACUUUUCACAGUUUUGAGGGUCACAUUUUUCAGAGUGGGUGAGAUGGAAGUUCCCACAGAAAUGCAUGUGCACCUGUUGUGCCCAUGCAAAUCUGUAUCUGGGUGCACAAAUCAGGCUAUUGCACAUCUGGCAGUCCUCGUGUGCACACAAUUACUAAAGCUGCGUGUGGAAGAGCAGGAAAGGCCACUGCACUCAGAUUUCAAGGCUCUUAGUACAAAAACUCACUUUUGGAAACAUAGUGUCUUAAAACAGUCCAGCAAAGUGUCCUCCGUAUGUGAAGCUCAUUUAGGAUUCAAGGAAUUGCAUUCACAGGACCAUAAAGUACAAGCAGCCCCGGUACAGAGCCCUCCUCACUGUGCCUUUGAGCCUCCCAUGAUUCCUGCCCUUCAAAGCACAAGGGGGUUAAACUCACUCUGCAGCAGAGACAAAACAGUUUAGGUGCCCGUCAUUCUCGUCCAAGACCUCCCUGGUGCGAGCUUCUCCAGUGGACUGGAGCCCGAUGACAAUACACUGGGGAGAAAUCAAAAGGGCAGCACGGUCGUGUGUUAGCGAGAUGAGGUCACACUACAUUUUGCUGGGCAGCAACACUCUCAGCAAACCAUUAUCAGCUCAAGAAGAGAUUACAUUUCACAGUUUGCCAGCACCUUCUGCACUGAACCCCAACUCUUCCCAGAUACACACAGUAAUAUCUUGGCCCUAAAACUGGGCUCCUGCUGAAGACUCUGCCUGUCAUUGCCUGAGGUUAUACAUGCAUCCACGAUGUUAAGAAACAUUGUCACGAUGCUUUAUUAUUAGAACUAAUUGAUUUCCCCAGCAUCUCUCUCUGAAAUUUCCAAAGCCCAUUCAAAUGAAUGCAAUGCCAGGUGUAUUUAACCAUGCAGAGCUGGAGAAUCCAGUAUAUCUUUCAACUCUAACUCGACUCAGAAUGCUGUUUCAAGUAGGUUUGCUCAUGUUUACCAUAAAACAGCACCAAGAAACAUCAGCAUUCAUUCUGAACUGUGGGACAUUAAACUCGUGAAAUCCUGGUUUCACCUACGGAGGCUAGACGCCUUUAGGUCAAGGAUAUAAGAAGAUAUAUGCUACCUUUUCACUGCGUACAAUCACGGACUAGUGUCCAAGUGCAUGAAAAUACCCUCAUUCCAGUUUUUUACCCCACCCUCCUCUGUUUGUACAGAGGUUGUGUUCUAUACAAUUCUUGUUUGGGCCUCAACAUUCAAAGAGGUUUUAUUCUGCAGAAAGACAACAGGCAUCAAAGAUCACUGGCGAUGAUUCACCUGAAUGCCCACACAAGACCUUGAGGGAUGCACAACGGAUGUCGUUGGACUAACACUUAUUGACCCUUUGCACCUGGCUUCUAAUACCGUACCUUGUCCUUUGCCAGCUCCUCCUUGGCAAGCUCAACGAGGCGUCGGACUUUAGCAGCAAUGCAGAGAUAUUUGAAGAAGCGCUGAUGAGCAGACCAGAACUGACCCCACAAGGACUUUCGAGACUCCAAGCCAAUGAUGUCGGCCGCGUGCUGGAACACCGCUAUCGCCUCUGCCCACUGAAAGCACACACAAAAGGGCCAGGUUAAUACUCCAGUCCCUAACUCAUGUCACCAUAACACACAAGGUUAUUAAAACUAUCAGGGUUUUGAAUAUCAAA